rnacentral:rRNA from 1 species
GUGCCAGCAGCCGCGGUAAUACGUAGGGCGCAACGUGUAUCCGGAAUUAUUGGGCGUAAAGAGCUCGUAGGCGGUUUGUCGCGUCUGCCGUGAAAGUCCGGGGCUUAACUCCGGAUCUGCGGUGGGUACGGGCAGACUAGAGUCAGUAGGGGAGACUGGAAUUCCUGGUGUASCGGUGAAAUNCNCAGAUAUCAGGAGGANCACCGAUGNCGAAGNCAGGUCUCU